CUGAGGAUGAAGGAUGCAUCUUGCCACUUCCCGCUGAUGAGCAGCCAGGAUUCCAGACAGUGGGAGCAGAAGAUGCUGAGGCCCAGGGGCAGAUCUUCACCUGCUGUGAAGCUCCAUUAUGAAGCUAUGACAAUUUAUACCAGGCAAAGGUCUGCCCUACUGGAUCUGGUUCUUCUCUCAUAUACAGAGGGGAAAAACCAGGAGUAACUCCAUUAAGAUUAAUGGGGCUGCAGCAAUGUAAAGCUACUGUGAGGGGAUAAUCAGGCCCAUAUUCUCAACUUCAUGGAUGCAACUUCCCAGGAGAUACUGCUGCCACAGAGGAAGUAGAAAGAGGAGGACUUCUGUUGGAUGGAGGGACAAUCAGGCAAAUCUGAUGUCUGAAGAAAAGCCCCAUGGUCAUGGAUUUGCUACAGCAAUGGCUGUUUCUAUCAAGGCAAGAAGUAGUCACUACUCAGAAAAUUCCUUUCAACUCCAGGAAUCUUUUGCACUGAGCUGCAGAAUAAGGUGUCACAGUGAUGUGUUGCCAAUAGUUCA